UGACACACCUUGUUGAGCAGGGUGGAUCAAGACGUGGUAAAUCAAAUUAAGUGCCUCGUCUCUAAAUAAACCUCGUGAAUUGCUGGAAACUCUUUGUAUGACUUGUUGGCUACAACGCAACUGGAAACGGUAAACGUGAAUGCUUGAAAACAACAAGUGGAUAAAGACAAUCAGCAGCCAAGCUCCUUAAAGGGAGAAGGUUCAACGACCAGCGAAAGCACACUGAAUAAGUGGAAGUGAGUAGAGUAGGGAUCAAGUGAUUCCGAAGUGCGAGGGCACUCUCAUAGAGUGUAAGAUAUGGUCUGAGCUCUAAGGUGACUUAGAG
rnacentral:ncRNA from 1 species